rnacentral:rRNA from 1 species
GAUCAUGGCUCAGGAUGAACGCUGGCGGCGUGCUUAACACAUGCAAGUCGAACGAAGCAAUCUAACGGAAGUUUUCGGAUGGAAGUUAAAUUGACUGAGUGGCGGACGGGUGAGUAACGCGUGGGUAACCUGCCUCACACUGGGGGACAACAGUUAGAAAUGACUGCUAAUACCGCAUAAGCGCACAGGACCGCACGAUACAGUGUGAAAAACUCCGGUGGUAUGAGAUGGACCCGCGUCUGAUUAGCUAGUUGGUGAGGUAAAAGGUUCACCAAGGCGACGAUCGGUAGCUGGUCUGAGAGGACGACCAGCCACACUGGGACUGAGACACGGCCCAGACUCCUACGGGAGGCAGCAGUGGGGAAUAUUGCACAAUGGGGGAAACCCUGAUGCAGCGACGCCGCGUGGAGGAAGAAGGUCUUCGGAUUGUAAACUCCUGUUGUUGAGGAAGAUAAUGACGGUACUCAACAAGGAAGUGACGGCUAACUACGUG